CUACGGGUCGCUCCAGUGAGGAAUAUUGCACAAUGGGGGGAACCCUGAUGCAGCAACGCCGCGUGGAGGAUGACGCAUUUCGGUGUGUAAACUCCUUUUAUAUGUCAAGAAAAUGACGGUAGCAUAUGAAUAAGCACCGGCUAACUCCGUGCCAGCAGCCGCGGUAAUACGGAGGGUGCAAGCGUUAUUCGGAAUCACUGGGCGUAAAGGACGCGUAGGCGGGUUGGAAAGUCAGGUGUGAAAUCCUACAGCUUAACUGUAGAACUGCACUUGAAACUUCUAAUCUAGAGUAUGGGAGGGGGAGAUGGAAUUGGUGGUGUAGGGGUAAAAUCCGUAGAUAUCACUAGGAAUACCUAAAGCGAAGGCGAUCUCCUGGAACAUUACUGACGCUAAGGCGUGAAAGCGUGGGGAGCAAACAGGAUUAGAUACCCUCGUAGUC
rnacentral:rRNA from 1 species